GGAGACGUGGCAGAGAGGUCGAAUGCGCCGCACUCGAAAUGCGGUAUACCUUUACGGGUAUCGGAGGUUCGAAUCCUCCCGUCUCCG
rnacentral:tRNA from 1 species